AUUGAACGCUGGCGGCAUGCCUUACACAUGCAAGUCGAACGGCAGCACGGACUUCGGUCUGGUGGCGAGUGGCGAACGGGUGAGUAAUAUAUCGGAACAUACCUUGUAGUGGGGGAUAACUAUCCGAAAGGAUAGCUAAUACCGCAUACGCUCUAAGGAGGAAAGUGGGGGAUCGCAAGACCUCAUGCUAUAAGAGUGGCCGAUAUCUGAUUAGCUAGUUGGUGAGGUAAAGGCUCACCAAGGCGACGAUCAGUAGCUGGUCUGAGAGGACGACCAGCCAAACUGGAACUGAGACACGGUCCAGACUCCUACGGGAGGCAGCAGUGGGGAAUUUUGGACAAUGGGGGCAACCCUGAUCCAGCAAUGCCGCGUGAGUGAAGAAGGCCUUCGGGUUGUAAAGCUCUUUUGUCAGGGAAGAAACGGUUGUGGCUAAUAUCCAUGGCUAAUGACGGUACCUGAAGAAUAAGCACCGGCUAACUACGUGCCAGCAGCCGCCGUAACAC
rnacentral:rRNA from 1 species